CCCGGUUCCCUACAACACGAGUCGAGGCUGCGAGUUGAGGAUAAAACGAACUGGCUUUAAUGGCACACAGGCAUCACUAUUUAUGCAAAACCCCAGGUCCAGGGACAACCCCCUCUGGACCUGAUGGGAUACAGUGACAAUACGAGCAGUUGACCAAUAGUAAUACAAUGUAUCCUUUUAAAUUGUUACCACCCAGCUUGGAGAUAAUGAGUCCAAUGGUUGGGACAAUGUAAUUAUCUCCAAGCGCC